GCCGCGCGCCUCUCGCCUCCCUCCCCUCCUCCCCUGCGCUCCCCUCCCCUCUCCCUCCCGCCGCUCGGCUCCGGGCUGGGGCCUCCGGGCACCCCUCCGGCGUCGUCCCCGGCACCGCGCCCCCUGCCGGCCGCCGCGCUGCGCCUCCCGGGGCCGUGGUGCGCUGGCGACGGGGGCGAGCAGGCCUCGGGGACCCUCGCUCUGGGUCCCUGGCAGGUUCCCCAGAUGCUCCCGCGCGCGAGGGUGAGGCCCGCGGGAGGUGAGGGGAGGCGGCCCGUGCGCCCGACGAGAUGGGGAAACUUCGGAGCUUGGGGGGGUGGGUCUCAGCCCCAGAGUCGGGUUUCUCAAAGUGGGCUCCGCUGCGCAUCGGCGCCCGGCGCCCGAGUCAUCUGAGGUGCCGGUUAAAAGCGCAGGCUCCUGGGCCUGGCCCCAGACCCACUGAAUGAGAAGCUCCGCGGUGGGGCCCGGGGAUCUGCAUUUUUAGCCAGCCUCUGGGCUGAUUCUGAUAUACGCUCCUUUGACACCUCGCCUGCCCCGGGGGUCAGGGGGAGGGCGGUGGUUGGUGGUGUUCAAAGCCAGAAACUACGUGCAAGGUUGUGUGUUGUGUGCGUGCCCUUUAUGGAGAGAGUCCGUCUGGUGCUUCCAGCAGUCUUUUAAAGGGUCUGGACCAUCAGGGUGUCAAGAAUUGCUGUCUUCUCUUGUUCUUACUCUCACACCUCCGCAGAAGGUUCUUCGUGGUCAUCCCGUGCAAAAAAAAGCAGAGGCGUGCCUGCAGGGAGGUCCCACUGCACAGUCCUGCUGGCCCCCUCCCUCUGCCAGGCCUGACACAUAAGGGAUCAGACCCCCUGAAGUCUGAUGCUGCUUGCACCAACCAGGGCCCUGCAAGAGAGAAGGCUAAGGCAUUCGGGGGACCUUCCCUGGCACAGGGCACAGAGCAUGCUGGCGGCGGUGGUGGCUGUCCUGGUGUCAUCUGUCGGGCUGCAGGAGGACUAGCAGUGGUGUGUGCUUGCCCCUGACCCAGGCACUUGCUGCUGCUUUCGUGGAGAGGGCAGGGUGAGCCACAGGGACAGAAGUCAUAGAGAGCUGGAGCCCAGCACACACUGCGCCCCGGGCAUCAGGCAAGCCCUCAGCUCCUUCCUCUGUCCGGUUGAGGUGUUUGUGCCGCCAACCCCGAGGACCUGGAGGAUGAGGCCUUGUAUCUCCAACAGCAGGCUUCUCUUUCCUGUGGACGUCCGGCUCCCAAAAUCCCAUCCUCCCGGCAGAGAGCACUCAUUCUUCCUGGAAGCUGGCUUCACAGGCCUGGGAGCAACACCUUCUCAACUUGCCUGGACCCUUUGUGUGUAGAAUACAGCUGUGGGCAUCUCCAAAGAGCCCAGGCUGGGAAACACAUGGAUACCUGCAGGACUGCCAGAGAGACACAGCGAGAGAGAGAACACAAGCAGGGGGAGCGGGAGUGGGAGAAGCAGGCUUCCUGCCAAGCAGGGAACCCGAUGUGGGGCUGGAUCCCAGGAAUCUGGGAUCAUGACCUGAGCCGAAGGCAGACGCUUAGCGAUGACUGUGCCACCCAGGCGCCGCGAACAGUAAAUACUUUUAUUCAAUACAUCAAUCUCUUAUUGCCAUGAUAGGUUUUACAUUGAUUACAUUUAUCAAUUUUUAAAAAAAACAUGUGAAAGUGUUAUGAUAACCCUUUUUAAAGAGAAGCUGAAGUUUAGAAAAAAUAAGAAUUUGGCCGGUGCCUCCCUGACGGUAACUAAAGAUCUGGAAUUCAAAACCAAGUCUAUACUGCUUUAGAGAAUAUAGACGCUUGAUGUAUAUUUUAAACACUUCUGCUUGAAAAUGUUGCCAUGUAGUUGCUGUUUGUCUUUGAAUUUGCGGAAAGGACUCAGGUAGGAGCA